UACGAGGCGUGUUGAGGCAGCAGUGUGGUGCUGUGGUCGGGUGAGGGAGCUGCGUCCGUCGGCGGUGCAGGUGCUGGAGCCUCACCUGGGUACUGUGGUGCUGGAGACGAGCCCCGGGAGGUGGUGGAGGCCCCAAGAUGAACCCGGCAGCGGUGCCCACGCCCCUAGAGGACGUGCAGGGGGACGGCCGCUGGCUGAGCAUGCAUAAUAGGUUUGUAAACCAGGCGCGUGAAAUGGAACCUGAUGUGGUGUUCGUGGGUGACUCGCUAGUGGCCAAUCUUCUGUCCACCGAUCUGUGGGAGAAGUGGUUUGCUCCCAUGCAUAGCCUCAAUUUUGGUAUUGGAGGGGACCAAACACAACACGUCCUUUGGAGACUUCGGAAUGGAGAAUUGGAAUUUAUAAAACCAAAGGCAGUUGUGGUAUUAGUUGGAACUAAUAACCACAAUCAUACAGCAGCAGAAGUUGCCGGAGGUAUUACAGAAAUAUUCCAGACAAUUAGGGAAAAGCAGCCACAAGCCUAUAUAAUAAUUCUUUCACUCCUACCUCGAGGGGAGAAGCCCAAUCCUUUACGGGAGAAGAAUAGUGAGGUCAAUGCUCUCAUAAAGGAAGCUCUGCGUCAAAAUGACUUAUGUCAGGUGGUUAAUAUUGAUCGCGACCUUGUCCUAGGAGAUGGAACGAUAGACCACAGAGACAUGUAUGACUACUUACAUCUGACCUCACAGGGUUACCAACGUGCCUUUGAGCCAGUCUACAUGCUUUUGAGCAAUUUAUUGCAUGAGGACGAUGCUGUACUGCUCAAUGACGCUGUUCUUGCAUCCCCAGCGGCAGAUAAUCCCCCAUCAGACAACCGCGUCACUUGUGCUGAAUAGCUUGCACAUUGUAUUGGCCAACUCCACUGCAGAUUAGCAUCACUGCCCUGGGCACUUGACAUCCUUGAUCAUACUGUAUUGAUGUAUGCUUAAUACAACACUGGCCUCGUGAAAUACUGCUUCUGUAUGCACUUCUGCUACACAUGUGCAUUGUUGCUUGUCGGGUCUGCUUUGCUUCUCGAUCAAACAUUCUUUCUCAUGAGAAUACAGACUCGAGGAAGCAGCUUAUGCUCGAGGCUGUCAAGGUGUGAUGAGGCAGCCAGCACUGGGCUUGUGGUGAACAAAUCAUUCCUAGAAACCAAAGUCUAGAACAGAAGGACUUGUUAAGCCUGUUCUUGUGAUACAUACUAAGUGAUCUUACAUUCAUUAUUUAAACUUGUUUUUAUUGAUGAUGUUACUUUUGUACAUUGGCAUUUCUUUGUUUAUGUAAUGGAACUUGUGCAGCUGCUGCUUUAUAUAUAUAUAUAUAUAUAUAUUAUAUAUAUAUAUAAUUUUUUUUUUUGUCAUGAAUGUACAGGACUGUGCUGUAUGGUUUGGGUACAUGCAUACACAUUUUAGCCACGUAAGUUAUUUUGCAUGUAGUAGUAACACUUUUCUGAAAGAUGUAAAUGUGAAUUGCUUUUUAUUUUGUAUACCAUAUUUAUUAUAAACAAAGUUUUCUGUAGUUAUAUUUUGGCAGUUAAUAUUGGGGCAUAAUGUAUUUGUGUUCAGUUCAGGUGCUGAAUCUAGUCUCGGUGAUAUAGUUCAUAAUUACCCUAUGAAUUAUGAAAAACUGUUUGAAUGAGCAUAGUGUCGUGUCCUUGUUCACCUACACCAUAACCCGUGUUACUUGGAACUUUUUGUUCCAGGUAGCGAAUGUUUAACAGCAACAACAUUGUUCACCUAGAGCCACCACUGUUAGUGGUGUAUGGGGAAACUCUUCACCCUGUUCAUGUUUUAAUCUCUUAUUUCUAGGACCAACAUUUUAUGCCAUAAAGUAUUUAUCUGAGUGUAACUGUUCAGUUAAUGAAUUUAAUAACAAGGCUUAAUUUUUUUGUAUCUAUUUAUUCUUUGUUAUCAAUUAUUAGCUGUUGCAUUUGCCUCAAACAAAAAUAAAAUCUGCAUGAUGGAAUUUUUUGUACUUCCCUGGGGUUUGUUUGUUUAUAUUGUACUUUGUAUUUAAUUGACAUUGCACCAUGGUUUUUUACCAGUACGUACUUGAUAUUUUUAUUGUAUGUAUUAUAACAAUAGGGUCAGGAAGAACUGUGAUGCAUGUAUGAGAGGUCUGUUGAUGAAUGCGAUGUCACUGAUGUAAUGUGCCGACGAUACUCUGGUUUGACUCAUAAUUAACAACCAGAUUCAAAAAUGUUUAAAAUUUUUGUAUUGGUUGUGUAGAUAUUUAAAGGACAACAAGGAGUUAUACAAUAGUUAGCCUCAUGCACUGCAAACAUGUAUUAGUAGGACAUUUGUUUACAAUGCACGUUGCUUCAGUGUUUUAACAUGGCAGUCGGUCAAUAUUUAUUGUGCCUAUAGUAUUGAAGAAAAAUAAGAAAGUUAUCUACUGGAAGAUUAAUAUAAAUACAACUCUGCAUGAUACAACAUUGCCCUUAGUACAUGUGGUCCAGAAUUCAACAUUAAGUUCAUUGUUUCUGUGAAACCAAACUUUGUUAAAGUAAAAAAAAAAAAAACAAUUCUGUGAUUAAGUGUCUUGAAGGAUGAUACCGAAUAAAAUCUAUAUUUACUAGUUUAAUUCAUACAUUGGUCUUAUUUUAGAUGACUCCCUACAAGCUGUGACGCUUUAACUAUCAAGAUACUGUACUCAAAAAUAUAAUAAUGUUUUUUCAUGUUGCAACGUCUGAAUUUUCAAGAUAAGUCUGAUGCAUCAUUUUUCUUCAAAUGUGCAAAUCUCAGAAUUAUUAGAUUCAUAGUGUAAAAUACAAAGGUGCAACAUUAACUUUGACAUAUGUGAAUGAUAGAAUAACAUAAAAUGCUCUUUCCUACUAUUAUACAAGUUUAUCUUAGGUUUGAAUCUAGGCCUUUUAUUGUCUUGCUGUAAUCACUUGCACUUUAGAAAUGAAGCUUGACACCAUGAUAACAAAUGAAUUAAUUAGUAUUUCCACUUAAAUUUGACAUUUUUCAGAUUUUAUUUAUUAAAUACUGUAUACUUGGUAAUUAAAAUUUUCAUUAACAUUCGAGUUCUUAUGACCACUAAAUGGAUAACUGACAAUUUGUUUUUAAACAAUGCAUUUAUUACAAGAUAUUUAUUCCUUUACUGUAACAAUUCAAGUUCAAUAAUUACUGUGUAAGGUAAAUGUUGAGUAGCUGUUCUGUUUAGUUGGUCUUCUUUUGAAAUGUACAGUUCAGGAAGCUAGUGCAGCUCAUGUGUUUCUAUAUGAAAUUGAUCAAUGUGUGAAAACUAACUUAUAUUUCUGCUUGUUUGUCACUUAUAACUAAAUAUAUUUGUUUACCUGCAGUUUAGUACAGUAUUGUACUGUAUAUUCAAUGUUGUUAUUUUGGAAGGGGGGAAAUGCUAAACUUUAGUAAUUUAAUUUUGUCUUAAAUUUGAAGCUUACUCUUGGCUGUUAGGCAUUACCUGCAUGACUAAUUUAUUAAAAUUUAGCUUUAAUGUUGUCCUUGAAUUUGAGGUCUUAAAUUUUUAAGUUUUGAUUUCUGUGAUUGGAAUAAAAGACUGGUGACAAUAUAGCAAAGCAAACCUACUAAGACUCCUGUGCACUGUUUUAUGUAUAAUUAAAUUAUUAUACAAUU
rnacentral:misc_RNA from 1 species